rnacentral:lncRNA from 1 species
GUCCAUAGAGAGCCAACCAAAGGUCCAUUCUAUUUGAUUUGCAGUAAUAAUCUGGAGAUGCGACACCCACUCCGCGACACCCUCUGGUAUUUAAACCCAUUCACCUUGUUGUCAAAUUCUUCUAUGCCACCUUUUGUUGGCAGCCCGUAAUUCAUGAACCGAGGCCGGUGACAUAAAUGUUCAAUCAUCCAGAUUUGCAGCAGCAAGUUACAGCCUUCGAAGAAAUCCCCUCCUGCUUUACAGAUGGUAAGAGCAUGGAAGAUGUCAGAAAAAAUCAUUGGGCCGAGAGUACUCCUAGCUUGGUUUAUUAAAGUGCUA